CACCCAUCUCUCUAAGAUUUAUUAAUGCAGCAUCUAUAAAGCAUGUGAAGUAAAUGCUCCUUAUUCAUAACUCUGCAGUGUAUUGAAAUUAUAAUUAGUGCUGAGAAACUUAGUACUUAUUAUUAGUCAAUUGCUACCACAUAGAUCACUGACUUAAGAUUGUAUAUCCCCAGAACAAUGAGAAAGUUGGCUCCUGGAGAGUAAAUCAAUGCUAUAGCACAAAGUUAGGUCAUUUAACUAGAGAAAAUGAGGCAAAUUGAGUAGUUUUUUUUUUUCUUCUAUUAGUUAACCAAUAACAGUCAGAAAGAAAAAAAAAUAUCACUCAGUGACUCAGGGAGUCAAACUUACGUAUCCCCAACAUGUAGUCUAUUCCAGAAGCGAAACAUUGCCCAGAUUGGUAAAGGAUUCCUGCACGAAGGGUCAUUGUGUUCCUAGUGAUUUGCAAGUGUUUGUUUAACAGAUUGUCACUCUUUCUAUAUAAAUAUUUAAAACAACAAGAGUGACACAACCAAGUAUUUUGUUGAGCUUAGGAGAAAAAAAGAAUUUCAAAUUUGUUAAACACUUUUUAAAGAAAAUAAAGGAAGUACAUCAUACAUACUCAAAAUAUAUGAAUUUCUUACAUGUGAUCUCUGGAGAAUUUUUAGUAGACACUUAAUUCAAACAAAUUUGGUUGCAGACCCAUGUAUCUCCAGAAGCUCUAAACUGGAGAUAAGAGAGGCAGCAAGUGUAGCCUAAAAUUCCUUCAAAUCCUUGCACUAAUUGGCUUUUUAUCAUCAAUAGAUGCAAAUAGGUGUGCAGGGCGUGGAUGCUACCCUUGUGCAGAAGGAGUAAUGCCAACCAAAGCCUUCAACGGGAGCCUUCCUGAGGAUGCUGCAGAGAGAGCACCACAGGAUGACUGUGAUACAGGGAGCAAAUAGCAUCAGGGUAGAUGGGCAGGUGACAUUCAAGAUACAGUUCCAUUUUAUUUACAGAAAUUUUUUUGAAAACAAAUUCUCAGGAAGUACUGGAAAACCGGUACCUUGAAAAAUUACAAGAGGAGACUCAGGAGCAGCAAGACCAGAGCCAUAGGUUAGCAAUUUUUUCUUUUUCUUUUUUUUUGGUUUUGCAGCUGGCCUGGGGAGAAAAGGUUGGGCACCAAGAAGGUGAAUCUUUAUAGUACCAAAUAAAGAGCCAAGCCACGCCAUAGAGGAAAAAGAAUAAGCAUGUAUCUCUAAGUAAUGUUUAACACACAGUAGGAAAUGUCAGUGUUAUAAAGACAGUUUCUGUCUUCCAGCAUCUUCCAGGUCUCUGUAUUAGAGUUUCAGGGACACAACUAUGGAUGGCUGAAGAGGAAGUGUGACAACUUUGACACAGUGGGGAAGUAUUUAGUCACCGCAUUGUGAAUGCUAGGGUUACUGAGUACUGUACCUGUGGCUGAAGAGAAUCAACCCAGGGCCAAAAUACUUGAGGAAGUAGAGCAGUAUUCCUUGUUCAUUGAUACGUUUCCUAUUCCUCUUCAUUUCUGCCUCUGAUUCCUUUUGAUAUCUUUUUAAAUCAUUCCCUAUACAAAUCCUGUUGGUGAAAUAAAUCUUGAAUGGAGCCAAAAGUAUUGUGUACCUUUAAAAAUAUCCAUUUGUGGGAGACCAACCUUGCCUGUGACCGAGUCACUCCCCAGCUGGGUGAUGGAGGCUUCAGGCGGCAGAUGUCCCUAGAUGCCCCACCCUUCUUGGGUUCGAAGGACAGUGUCCUGCAUGGGUGUGUCUUGCUGUAGCCCCAAGGGUGGAGCUGUGCUCGCCUGUCCCUUUGUAAUAUCACCCCUUGCCCUGUUUGGGAUAGAAUGUUCCAUGGAAACACCUUUUGUGUGUCCCCUUAUCUUACUGUGCCCUUGGGUAUGGCCUACCUAAUGUCAGUCAACCUGCUGACAGCAGACAUCAUGAAGCUACACGCAGCCCCCUGAAACCUGACCCGUUGCCUCGUUUGAAUAGCUUCUCCUCAAUAAAAGAGGUCAGCGCGUGGGGGCUCGCGCUCUCUCUCUUGUCUGUCUCUCUUUCUGCAGACCCUUAAGGUCAGAGGAGCCAUCACAGCAACCUCGAAGAAAAAGGGUAGAUGCUGGACUUGAUGUGGUCAGAGACAAGAUCACUAGGCCCAUCUGGUGGAAGAGGUAGGUGUACCAAAUGCGAAGGGAGAAGUCUACCUGCGGUUUGCUGGACUGGCUCUGCAGGAUUCCAGAAGUGAUGUUUGGAGACACUGAGUGACUUGCCUAAGUCAUAGACCUAGAAUGUGGAAAGUUUCACUCCAGGGACCACAGUGUACAAAAGAAAUUUGUGCAUCUUAUGAAGUUUUUCUUGAUGAUGGAGAUAGUUUCUCCUAAGGUUGAAACUUCUCAAGAAGAACAGAAUGCUUUGGUGCCCUGUGAGAUCCUGGUUGAGAUCCUGGAGGUAAAACUCACGAUCCCCAUGGCACUGAGCUGUCCUGGAGUGCACACAUCUGCAGCAUUGAUUACACCAUGGUGCUGGGGCUCAGCGACCUCCUGGAGGACUUCUACCGGAAGGGUGCUUCAAGAAGCCAGCAGCACCCAGCAGGGAGAUGGACCACACAGGAGGAUGACCUGCUCAGAGACUCAUGCAGAGCCCUCCAGAGUCAAGGAUGCUGACCCAGAGAAAUAACUGCAGCAAGACCCAGGUACCCAGCCCUACAACAGCUGUAAAGACCCCGUCCCAGAACAAAAGAGAUCCCUGCGAAGAGCUUGAUCAGACCCUCAGUGGGUGUCUGGUGCUGAAGAUUCUCCCAGAAGGUCCCUGUCACUGUGAUUUGAUACCAGAUGCCACCUGAUAGACACACUGGCCCAAUGGAGCAGAGAAAGGGCUGCAAGGUGACCCCAGAAGAAAAGGGAGCCCAUGCGAGGCCCAGAUUCUGAGAACAAUAACUCCUUGGUGGCCCCAUCCCUGGAGGAAGAGAUGGAGUUGAGGGAAGCGCUGCAGGAAGACAGGGAACUGUGCUUGUCCCUUGGCUCCAGUGAUUUGCAGGAAAAUGCAGCUGAGCCCAGUUCUGAAGAUGGGUCCUGGACCAUCCAAAGAGUGAGUGAGCCAUGCCGCCUCCACCCGUCCCUGCUCCUGCUCUGUGUUUCCCUGGUGGCUGAGCUGGGCUGGCUGAGUCACCCUCACCACCACCAUGUGUCCCUCACCCCCUGACUUUCCCCUGCAGCCUUGCUGCACAGAGGUCCAGCUGGCCCCAGAAGUGCCACCACCUGGCUGCCCUCAGUGUCUGGUCCAUCCCCAGAGGUGCCUACUGGCUCCAGGCCCUGGGUCUCCACCUUCUUUUCACAGCUCUAGACCCGAUAUGUGUGUGCCUCAGGAGCUGUGGCUGGGCCAGGUGUGGGUCCUGCUCUCUCUGGGUCUCUGUAUUGAGGUGAGGGGCUGGGUGCUCCUCUGUUGUGCCACAGGACCCAUGUGUGGGUGCUCGCUGGCUGGCAGGUGCUCUUUCCCAGAGGUGAGGCCCAUUGGCCUCUGGGAGUUGUUAAACACCAGGGAACUAUUGCUUGGUCAGGGACCUUGCCGGAGCCCCCGGAGGCUUCUGGGAGGGAUCUCCCUGCAGGCGCUCAGGAGCACUAGGUGUGCUCCAGCUCACAGACACCCAGAUUGUGGCACCUGCUGCCAGGCUUCCUCCUGGCUCAGAGGGGAAGGUGGCUUUCUGUGCCUGGGCUGGGGCUGGCUUGUGAGGUUCCUUGCAGGGGGUGCUCUGUGGUCCAGAGUGUGGCAGUGACACGCUGGAGUUCUCUGGUCCAUGCAUGCAUGUGGGCGGGUGCUAUGCGUGGUGCAUGGGUGUGGGGUGUGUGUGUGUGUAGUGUCUGGUGUAUGUGGUGUGUGUGAAGUGAGUGUUGAUUUGUGUGUAUGUGUCAGGGUGCAGGACCUGUGGGGGGGAGUGGUGUGUGUUUGUGUGUAUGGUGUACGGUUGUGUCUUUCCCCUGGAGUAACCCCUUCCUCAGCAGGGAAGGCCACACAAACCUGGCCCUUGGGGGAUACUGAAGGCUUGGGUGAACCUUCAAGUGAGAGUCACCAUUGAGACACUCAGGGGGUGGUGAUUAAAAAUGCUGCAGUGCUCAGCAGGAUGAGGGUCUUUUUAAGCCUUCACAGAGUAAGUUGAAGAAUCUUUGUGUAAGAAAAAAAAGGAGCAAUAGCCAGGAAACCAUAGUUGUGCACAGUGGUGCACACUUGUAAUCACAGUGACCAGGAGGCCAAGGCAGGAGGAUCCAAAGUUCAAGGCCAGCCUCAGCAGCUCCGUGAGACCCUGUGGCAAAAGAGAGAGAGAGAGAGAGAGAGAGAGAGAGAGAGAAUAAAGAAAGGACUGAGGACAUGAGCCCUGUGUCUGAUUCCAACUUCACACCUUAAGAAACUAGGAAAAGGUAAAGCAACUAAAACCAAAGGCAAAGAAGGAAGGAAAUACUAACUAUUAGAAGAGAAAUAAGCAAAGGAGAUGGGGCUGGGGUUGCGGCUCAGUGGUAGACCGCUUGCCUAGCACGUGUGAGAUGCAGGGUUUGAUCCUUAGCACCACAUAAAAAAAUAAAUAAAAUAAAAUAAAGGUAUUUAAAAAAAGAAAUAAACAAAGGAGAGAAUAGAAAAGCACUAGAGAAAAAAAAAAAAAAACCAGUGAAUCAAAAGGUUGAUUCUUUGAAAAGACCAACAAAAUCCAUAAACUUUUAGACUCAUAAAAAAAAAGAUAACAUGUAAAGAACUCAAAAGGUCCAGGGUCCUGUUUUAUCUCUUCGUGGAAGCUAGAGAGGAAAAAGGGAAAGUAAGGUGGGGGCAGACCUCAGGCAAUUGAAGGGAAAUCAGUGGAAGAAAAGGAGGUGGGGGUG